AGCCUCAGACGCAAAUGUGAAUGCUAAAAGCAGGACUUCCGUCUUGAUUGUUGAAUUUUAUUUCAUUAUUCUUAAUGUUAGUACACAGUGAAAACACACGAAAACUACUCUGUAAGAUGUUUACCUCUUAUUUUAUCAGGAAAUAACGCCGCGUUGCGGUUCCUGUGCACCAGUAGACGUUUAGAUUAGCAGGAUGCCAACCCGUCCUGGGGAAGUCCCGCGGGUUUAGGUGAUUAGAAGACCUUACUCCUGUUUUUAGUAGUUUUUUUCUAGGUUUGUUUGAAUAAUAUUCAGUGCAAGUUGCUUGUUGACUCAUAAAGUAGUUCAGAUCAUGAGUAAAGCCCAGCCAAAGUUAAAGCCUCCCCUCCCUCGGCUUAAUUUAUGACCUGUGAGGAGGAACCCAGGGAGUGAGAAGUGAGUGAGACUGGUUUGAAAGCCGUGAAUAGGGAAGGGGGCAACAGGCCCUCCAAAUAACACAAAAGAGGCAACUACAGCUGUUUGGAGGCAACACAAGCCUCCGCAAGACACUGUCUUCUUCUAGACCUACACCCGUGCUGCCUUUGCAAGCAGCAUGCUUGUGUUUGAAAGCUGUAACUUCACUUCUUGUAGAGAGUAUCCAGAGCCAUCUGCAGGCCACGGUCCAUCCCCAAAGACAGGGGAUCACAAAGGUGUUAUUUUUCAAAGCUGGCCCUGUCCGCCUCCUGCCGAGGGUGUGCGGCUGUGGUUCAAGGGAAGGUGGGAAACUUCUGAGGCCCUGUUCCCCGCUUGUAACCCCUCCCUGUCGCCCGCCUCCCCAGGGGCAGCCUUUUGAGGGUGUCAUAACUGCGGCCUGUAUAACACGGGUUACUGCUGACGGCGGUUGGUCACAGUUGAUGAAGCCUUUAAAGCUGCUUCCUUUCUCAUGGUUUCUGUUAAAAUUGUGGAGAGCGGGACCCGCGGCUUGGCUCUCGGACAGUUGCAGCCGUAGGAAUAGAGAGGAUUUUGGGAGGAUGGUAAAAUCCUGCAUUUUGACUUUCGAUAAGUAGAGGGUGCUCCUGUUCCAUGUUUGAUGUUGUUCGGCACAUUGCAGACCUACACUGCUACCCAAUAUCCCCACUCUUCAAAAAGAGGAAACAAUGAAAGUAUUAUCUUCAUUUUAAGGUAGUUUGUAAGUUACUAAAAAGGUCAGUCUUUUUCUUUCAUUGUUGUCAUAUCAGCAUGAAUAAAAGCUUCAGUGAAUUGUUUGAAA